AUUGAACGCUGGCGGCAGGCCUAACACAUGCAAGUCGAGCGGGUCGGGGGACGGGUGAGUAAGGCCUAGGUAUCUGUCUGUUCGUGGUGGAUAACGUCCGCUAACGGGAGCUAAUGCUACUUACUAUCAGCUGCGUCUAGGUCGGAUUAGCAAGUUGGUGGGGUAAAGGCCUACCCAGGCGACGAUCCGUAUCUGGUCUUAGAGGAUGAUCAGUCACACUGGAACUGAGACACGGUCCAGACUCCUACGGGAGGCAGCAGUGGGGAAUAUUGGACAAUGGGCGAAAGCCUGAUGCAGCCAUGCCGCGUGUGUGAAGAAGGUCUUCGGAUUGUAAAGCACUUUAAGUUGGGAGGCGUUACCAACAGAAUAAGCACCGGCUAACUUCGUGCCAGCAGCCGCGGUAAUUC
rnacentral:rRNA from 1 species